CCUACGGGAGGCAGCAGUGGGGGAUAUUGCACAAUGGGGGAAACCCUGAUGCAGCGACGCCGCGUGGGUGAAGAAGCGCCUCGGCGCGUAAAGCUCUGUCAGCAGGGAAGAAAAUGACGGUACCUGAAGAAGAAGCCCCGGCUAACUACGUGCCAGCAGCCGCGGUAAUACGUAGGGGGCAAGCGUUAUCCGGAUUUACUGGGUGUAAAGGGGGCGCAGACGGCGGUGCAAGCCAGGAGUGAAAGGCCGGGGCCCAACCCCGGGACUGCUCUUGGAACUGCGUGGCUAGAGUGCAGGAGGGGUAGGCGGAAUUCCUGGUGUAGCGGUGAAAUGCGUAGAUAUCAGGAGGAACACCGGUGGCGAAGGCGGCCUGCUGGACUGCAACUGACGUUGAGGCUCGAAAGCGUGGGGAGCAAACAGGAUUGGAUACCCGUGUAGUC
rnacentral:rRNA from 1 species